GUGGGUAUAACUCAGUUGACAGAGUGUUUGCCUAGCAUGCAGAAAAGUCCUGAGUUCAAUUCCCAGCACCACU
rnacentral:tRNA from 1 species